rnacentral:rRNA from 1 species
GACGAACGCUGGCGGCGUGCCUAAUACAUGCAAGUCGAACGAGAAACUUCGGUUUCUAGUGGCGAACGGGUGAGUAACACGUGGGCAACCUGCCCUCAAGCCUGGGAUAACUCCGGGAAACCGGGGCUAACACCAGAUAAUCUUCUUUUUCGCAUGAAAAAGAAGUAAAAGUUUACACUUGAGGAUGGGCCCGCGGUGCAUUAGCUAGUUGGUGGGGUAACGGCCUACCAAGGCAACGAUGCAUAGCCGACCUGAGAGGGUGACCGGCCACACUGGGACUGAGACACGGCCCAGACUCCUACGGGAGGCAGCAGUAGGGAAUUUUCCGCAAUGGGGGCAACCCUGACGGAGCAACGCCGCGUGAGUGAAGACGGCCUUCGGGUUGUAAAGCUCUGUUCUUGGGGAAGAAACAAAUGACGGUACCCAAGCAGAAAGCCCCGGCUAACUACGUGCCAGCCGCCGCAGUAACAC